AUGGCGGACAUGGGCAGCCUCGAGAGGAUGGGACGGGAGCUCAAGUGCCCCAUCUGCCUGAGCCUGCUCAGAUCGGCGGUGUCCGUCACCUGCAACCACAUCUUCUGCAACCAUUGCCUCACGGAGUCGAUGAAAUCCUCCUCCACCUGCCCCGUGUGCAAGGUGCCGUUCCGCCGAAGAGAAAUACGGCCAGCACCACACAUGGACAAUUUGGUCGGCAUUUUGAAAAGCAUGGAGGCUGCAUCAGGAAGUAAUGUUGUCUCAACACAGGUGACUCCUGCGGCACAGGUUGCAGAUGGAUCAAAGCAUGCCAACAGUGGGAAAAAGUCUAAACCGUUGCCAAAAUCAACAGUGCAAAAGAAGAAGAUAUCAUCCGAGAGGAAAGCGAAGAAAACAAAGCCUACUCUGUCUUCUGCAUCUGGUCCUACUAAAAAGCCUUCUUUCUCUGCGAACAAGAGAAUACAUGUGACACCAUUCCCUGAAUCUGAGACGCCAAUGAGACCUCAGAAGAUUAUGAAAUCUGAAGAGACAAAAGAUAAAUUGAAUGGUGAUGUUCAAGAAGGCAAAGAUAAAGCAUCAGCCUCUGAUAAACCGGGAGGUUUCUCAUUGUCACCCUUUUUUUGGUUAAGGGAAGGAGAUGAUGCAGAAGGCGGCACUCUUGAAACGUUAAGUGAACCACCCUCAUUGGCCACGCCCUUGCGUCACAAUGCACCUUGUUUUAGUGACAUCAAAGAUUCUGAUGCUGGAACCCCUCCUAAUACGACUCCAAAUGGUAAAUUUGAGGAUAUAUUAGAUCACAUAGCAGAGAAAGAUGACGAGGAAGAUAUACAGCUUGGUGGUUCAUUCGAUGAGUCAGGUCAUACAAAUAAUGCAGCUCAGCAUGUCAAUGCUAAUAAAGAAAUGAAGCAGAAGGGGAAGAAGGCAAUAGGUGGGAACAGCAGGAAGAUAAAGUUGCUCGAGGUCAUCACAAAAGAAGCUGAUGCCAACCAACAAGAUUCAAAUAUCAGUAAAAGUCUUGCUGCAAAGUCAUGCGAGAAAAACAGCAGUACUAUAGAGAAGAAUACUUCAAGUAGAAGAAACAAGGCUGGUAAAAACAUCAAUCUAUUUCCCUGUUCUGAUGAUAACUCCAUGGGGACAUUUCACCUUCGAGAAAAUAGUUUGGAGAUUGAAGUACAUGAUGGACACCUCUCAGAAAGAUCUCAGAAAAAGGAGAAAAGUGGUCAACAGAAGAAAUGUGCAAGGAAGCUGGGAACAAAAGGGAAGAGUACAGUUGAGACUACAGAGAGUAACUCUGAGCCAAGAAGUAAGCGAGUUAGAAAAAUGCCUGACGGUGUCAAUGCUGAAAAGAUAGGAGUUACUGAUGUCUCUAGAAAUGAAACAGAAAUGCCACUACGCAGCUUCAUGAAAAGUUGCACCCAACACAAACUUUUGGAUGGUAGAAGUAAAAAGAGCAGUAAAAAGGGCAAGUUCAGUGAAGGAACGAAUAGUCAGAUAGGGCUUGAUAGCAUGAAAUCAAACAUCAAUGCAAAUACAUCAAGCAUUUUACUUGGUAGAUGCCAAAGUAGUGAGGCAAUACGUGCAGCUCCUUCACCAAUGGAUGCAUCAGUUAAGAACAAAUGUGCAAAAGGUAUCAAACAAACAGAUUGUUCAGGAAUGAAAAACUUUGGAAAGCUCCAAGCUUGCACUGGUAAUACUUUCCUGAAGAAAUGUGAUGACACUGUCUCUAAGGUUUUCUGUGCUUUCUGCCACUCUGCUGAUAUCACAGAGGAGUCUGGAGAGAUGGUUCACUACCAUAAUGGAAAACAAGUCCCUGCAGAGUCUGGUGGAGGGGCUAAUGUCGUACAUUCUCACAAGAACUGCAUGGAGUGGGCUCCGGAUGUCUACUUUGAAGAUGACUCAGUGUUUAAUCUUACGCCUGAGUUAACUAGAAGCAAAAGGAUCAAAUGCGCUUGCUGUGGAGUUAAAGGCGCGGCGCUUGGUUGCUUUGACAAGGGUUGUCGGAAAAGCUUCCACUUCACAUGUGCUAAAUUGAUCCCAGAAUGCAGAUGGGAUAAUGAAAACUUUGUGAUGCUAUGCCCUUUGCAUCAGUCUUCCAAGUUGCCAAAUGAAGUUUCUCAGCCACAAAAGCAACCCAAAAGGAUAACAGCACCAAAAUGUCCAUCUCAGGUAAGAUCUAGCCAAGCUUGCAGUAAUAACUGGAAAUGGCCAUCAGGAUCACCACAGAAGUGGGUUCUCUGCUGUUCAGCUCUUUCUGCUGCUGAGAAGGGCGUCGUAACAGAAUUUGCAAAAUUAGCUGGUGUGCCUAUUUCCAAGAGCUGGAGCCCCAGCGUUACCCAUGUCAUUGCAUCAACUGACCCCUCUGGCGCUUGCAAACGCACGCUGAAGUUUCUGAUGGCAAUCUUGAAUGGCAAAUGGAUCGUCUCCAUCGACUGGGUUAAGGCUUGCAUGGAUGGCAUGGAACCUGUUGACGAGCAGAAAUUUGAAGUCACCACGGAUGUUCAUGGGGUCCGUGAGGGUCCCAAGUUAGGAAGACAGAGAGUGAUCAACAAGCAACCCAGGCUGUUUGAUGGCAUGCAGUUCUACCUCCACGGAGACUACACCGUGGCCUACAGAGGCUUCCUGCAGGACCUGGUGGUCGCGGCAGGUGGCACCGUUCUGCACCGGAAGCCCGUCUCAAGGGACCACCAGAAGCUGCUCGACGACAGCUCCCCCCUCAUAGUCGUGUACAGCCUUGAGAACCAGGGGAAGGCGAACCUCGACGGCAAUGACGAUUAUCGGCGCAGGCAGGCUGAUGAUGCCCAGGCUCUGGCCUUCGCCUCUGGUGGUGAAGCCGCUAGCAGCGCCUGGAUAAUCGACUCCGUUGCGGCUUGCAAGCUGCAGCCUCUGUGA
rnacentral:rRNA from 1 species